UACCGAGCAGUCGCCUCCUUUUUUCUCGUUCCUCCCCAACUCCCCCACGCGCAACCCUGCCACCGCUUCUUCUUCCUCGCCCAGCGCCGUCGCCCCGAUGCAGCCGCUCCAUCCUCCACCAGCAGCCCCGUCCCGCCGCUCCAUCCUCCACCAGCAGCCCCGUCCCGCCGCUGAUCUCGCCUACAGCGCCGCCAUACCAUCCUCAGUUUCAGCCGGCCGCAUGGACCGUCGCCGGGAGAAGGUCGCAGUGGCACCACCGGCUCCGCCUCUGUUCGCCGGGGCACCACCGGCUCCGCCGCUGUUCGCCGCUGCACCACCGGCUCCUCCUAUGUUCGCAGUCGCCAACAGCUCCUCCGGCCAGUCAGCACCUGGUCUUUGUCACUUCUCAUGCAUGAACUGCAUAAUAUGUACUCCCUCCGUUCCAAAAUAGAUGACACUUUUAUUGAGAACCAGAAAACGUCUAGGCUGGAGCGGCAGAAGGUUAUAGAUAGCCAACAUCAACUCUCAAGUCAGCAGCUUGAAACCGCUAAACUUGCCAAGGAGACAAAAUUGAUUGAGCUCUACCAGAAGUUAUUGUUUGCUGAUACAAGUGCCAUGGAUGACGACGCGAAAGUGGAGCGUGCCAAGGCAAUGGCAAGUCUGAGGUCUAUACUAUUUCCAGAAGAAAUGUGAGGUUUAUGCUAUUUCCUUAUUCAUGUUAACUCUGUAGUGUGACAAAACUCAUUGAUCGAAUCUAUUAGAUGAACUAUAUGCAUGUGGUGUAAGCAUGUCUCUACCUUGUGUUGGAUAUAUCAAGUGAGAUGUAAACCUAUGUUAUUUCUAUUUUCUCAAGGAAAGUAAGAUCUAUGCUA